GAGAAUGUUAUCACGGGAGACACACGGCGGGUGCUAACGUCCGUCGUGAAGAGGGAAACAACCCAGACCGCCAGCUAAGGUCCCAAAGUCAUGGUUAAGUGGGAAACGAUGUGGGAAGGCCCAGACAGCCAGGAUGUUGGCUUAGAAGCAGCCAUCAUUUAAAGAAAGCGUAAUAGCUCACUGGUCGAGUCGGCCUGCGCGGAAGAUGUAACGGGGCUAAACCAUGCACCGAAGCUGCGGCAGCGACACUAUGUGUUGUUGGGUAGGGGAGCGUUCUGUAAGCCUGUGAAGGUGUGCUGUGAGGCAUGCUGGAGGUAUCAGAAGUGCGAAUGCUGACAUAAGUAACGAUAAAGCGGGUGAAAAGCCCGCUCGCCGGAAGACCAAGGGUUCCUGUCCAACGUUAAUCGGGGCAGGGUGAGUCGACCCCUAAGGCGAGGCCGAAAGGCGUAGUCGAUGGGAAACAGGUUAAUAUUCCUGUACUUGGUGUUACUGCGAAGGGGGGACGGAGAAGGCUAUGUUGGCCGGGCGACGGUUGUCCCGGUUUAAGCGUGUAGGCUGGUUUUCCAGGCAAAUCCGGAAAAUCAAGGCUGAGGCGUGAUGACGAGGCACUACGGUGCUGAAGCAACAAAUGCCCUGCU
rnacentral:rRNA from 1 species